rnacentral:rRNA from 2 species
UGGGGAAUAUUGCACAAUGGGCGAAAGCCUGAUGCAGCAACGCCGCGUGAGCGAUGAAGGUCUUCGGAUCGUAAAGCUCUGUCCUCAAGGAAGAAUUUUGACGGUACUUGAGGAGGAAGCCCCGGCUAACUACGUGCCAGCAGCCGCGGUAAUACGUAGGGGGCUAGCGUUAUCCGGAAUUAUUGGGCGUAAAGGGUGCGUAGGCGGUCCUACAAGUCAGAGGUGAAAGGCUACGGCUCAACCGUAGUAAGCCUUUGAAACUGUAGGACUUGAGUGCAGGAGAGGAGAGUGGAAUUCCCAGUGUAGCGGUGAAAUGCGUAGAUAUUGGGAGGAACACCAGUUGCGAAGGCGGCUCUCUGGACUGUAACUGACGCUGAGGCACGAAAGCGUGGGGAGCGAACA